GAUCAUGGCUCAGAGCGAACGUUUGCGGCGGGCUUAACACAUGCAAGUCGAACGAGAAUCCCGUUCGGGAGGAAAGUGGCGCACGGGUGCGUAACACGUGGAUAACCAACCCAUUGGUUGGGACAACACCGGGAAACUGGUGCUAAUACCAGAUGUGUCGCAGCUGUCUUCAGGCGGUUGCGAGAAAGGCCCGCAAGGGUCGCCAACGGACGGGUCCGCGUCCCAUCAGCUAGUUGGUGAGGUAAUGGCUCACCAAGGCAAAGACGGGUAGCUGGUCUGAGAGGAUGAUCAGCCACACUGGAACUGAGACACGGUCCAGACUCCUACGGGAGGCAGCAGUGGGGAAUAUUGCGCAAUGGGCGAAAGCCUGACGCAGCCACGCCGCGUGAGCGAUGAAGGUCUUCGGAUCGUAAAGCUCUGUGGGGGGAGAAGAAGAAAGCCGGUGAAGAGCCGGCCCUGACGGUAUCCCCUUAGCAAGCACCGGCUAACUCCGUG
rnacentral:rRNA from 1 species